AACGAACGCUGGCGGCAGGCCUAACACAUGCAAGUCGAGCGGACCUUUCGGGGUCAGCGGCGGACGGGUGAGUAACGCGUGGGAAUAUGCCCUUCUCUACGGAAUAGUCCUGGGAAACUGGGGGUAAUACCGUAUACGCCCUGUGGGGGAAGGAUUUAUCGGGGAAGGAUUAGCCCGCGUUGGAUUAGGUAGUUGGUGGGGUAAUGGCCUACAAAGCCGACGAUCCAUAGCUGGUUUGAGGGGAUGAUCAGCCACCCUGGGACUGAGACACGGCCCGAAUUCUUACGGAGGGCGGCAUGGGGGAUCCUGCGACACCGGGGCAACCCUGACCUAGCCAUGCCGCGUGAGUGAUGAAGGCCUUAGGGUUGUAAAGCUCUUUCAGCUGGGAAGAUAAUGACGGUACCAGCAGAAGAAGCCCCGGCUAACUCCGUG
rnacentral:rRNA from 1 species